GGGGAGUGGGGGGGGAGGGCGCGCGCCCGCCGCGAGCUCCUUCCCGCCUACCGCUGAGGCGCGCUCCCGCGGCUUCUCGCGAGCCCUGGCCUCGCUCCCGCGAGAAACCGCUGCGCGCCUGCGCGGUGCCGAGGCCGGGGCCGGGCCUGAGGAGAGGAGCUGCGUGUGGUGGUGGCUGCCGGCCGGGGCCGAGACCGAGGAGACCUGCCGCCAAGAUGAGCGGCACGUUGGCCAAGAUCGCGGAGAUCGAGGCUGAGAUGGCCCGGACGCAGAAGAACAAGGCCACGGCUCACCACCUGGGGCUGCUGAAGGCCCGCUUGGCCAAGCUACGCCGGGAGCUCAUCACCCCCAAGGGAGGCGGCGGCGGCGGCCCCGGGGAAGGUUUUGAUGUUGCAAAGACAGGUGAUGCGCGGAUUGGGUUUGUGGGUUUUCCAUCAGUGGGGAAAUCUACUCUUCUAAGUAAUCUUGCUGGUGUAUACUCUGAAGUGGCAGCAUAUGAAUUCACUACACUAACUACUGUGCCUGGAGUCAUUAGAUACAAAGGAGCAAAGAUACAGCUACUUGAUCUCCCAGGAAUUAUUGAAGGUGCCAAGGAUGGUAAAGGCAGAGGACGGCAAGUCAUUGCAGUUGCUCGAACCUGUAAUCUCAUUCUGAUUGUUCUGGAUGUGCUGAAACCCCUUGGUCACAAGAAAAUCAUUGAGAAUGAACUGGAGGGAUUUGGAAUUCGUCUGAAUAGUAAGCCCCCUAAUAUCGGAUUUAAAAAAAAGGAUAAAGGAGGCAUUAACCUUACAGCCACAUGUCCUCAGAGUGAGCUGGAUACUGAAACAGUGAAGAGCAUCUUAGCCGAGUACAAAAUUCACAAUGCCGAUGUCACGCUGCGCAGCGACGCCACUGCUGAUGAUCUAAUUGAUGUUGUUGAAGGAAACAGGGUUUACAUCCCAUGCAUUUACGUCCUAAAUAAAAUUGACCAAAUUUCCAUUGAGGAACUAGAUAUUAUUUACAAAGUACCCCACUGUGUACCAAUAUCUGCUCAUCAUCGCUGGAACUUUGAUGAUCUGCUGGAGAAAAUUUGGGACUACUUGAAGCUAGUACGAAUUUACAAGGGAGAACCUGCUGCAGCCAUUGGCUACCCAGAUGCAUUUUCAGCUUACAAACACCGAACAAUUUACAGAGUAUCUGUUGUCACCACUGAAAUAGUGGAACUCGGCACAAGUGCCCAGGAUGACAGACUACACCAAACCUAAAGGGCAACUCCCAGACUACACCUCUCCUGUGGUACUACCUUACUGCAAGACAACAGUGGAGGAUUUUUGCAUGAAGAUCCACAAAAAUCUCAUUAAAGACUUUAAAUAUGCACUGGUCUGGGGUUCAUCUGUUAAACACAACCCUCAAAAAGUUGGUAAAGACCAUACUCUUGAAGAUGAGGAUGUUAUUCAGAUUGUGAAGAAAUAAAGUUGUUCUUGCAUGGUUUGCCACUCC